GACGAACGCUAGCGGCGUGCCUAAUGUAUGCAAGUCGCGCGGAGGCUUCGGCUUCAGCGGCGAACGGUUGAGUAACACGUCGGCAACCUGCCCCGGAGUGGGGAAUAACGCAGCGAAAGUUGCGCUAAUACCGCAUGUAGCCCUCGCCCGCCUGGUCGAGUGGCGAAAGCCGCGAGGCGCUCCGGGAGGGGCCGGCGGCCUAUCAGCUUGUUGGUGGGGUGACGGCCUACCAAGGCUUCGACGGGUAGCUGGUCUGAGAGGAUGGUCAGCCAGACAGGGACUGAGACACGGCCCUGACUCCUUUGGGGGGCAGCAGUGGGGAAUAUUGGACAAUGGGCGCAAGCCUGAUCCAGCCAUGCCGCGUGAGUGAUGAAGGUCUUGGGAUUGUAAAGCUCUUUCACCGGGGAAGAUAAUGACGGUACCCGGAGAAGAAGCCCCGGCUAACUUCGUGCCAGCAGCCGCGGUAACAC
rnacentral:rRNA from 1 species